rnacentral:rRNA from 1 species
ACGGGCCCGCACAAGCAGCGGAGCGUUGUGGUUUAAUUCGAUGCUACACGAAGAACCUUACCAGGGUUUGACAUACAAGUGGUAGAGAAGCGAAAGCGGACCGACCCUUCGGGGAGCUUGUACAGGUGCUGCAUGGCUGUCGUCAGCUCGUGUCGUGAGAUGUUCGGUUAAGUCCGCUAACGAGCGCAACCCUCGCUGUGUGUUACAAGUGUCACACGGAACUGCCGGUCAUAAACCGGAGGAAGGUGGGGAUGACGUCAAGUCAGCAUGGCCUUUAUAGGUGGGGCUACACACGUCAUACAAUGGCUGGUACAAAGGGUUGCCAACCCGCGAGGGGGAGCUAAUCCCAUAAAGCCAGUCGUAGUCCGGAUCGCAGUCUGCAACUCGACUGCGUGAAGUCGGAAUCGCUAGUAAUCGUGGAUCAGAAUGUCACGGUGAAUACGUUCCCGGGUCUU